CCAAACUUAGAGGGAGACUGGUUGUGUGUAUGUACUGAGGCUGACCGUUGGUUCAGAUCCCAGCUCCACUUCUUAUAGUCCCUGAUCCAGGACACUUAACCUGUAUUGCUCAUUUAUGAAGAGAGAAGAAUAGUUACAUUUGGGGGUUCAGAAGAUUUAAAAGGUUAAAUCAGGUAAAGCUAGGAGUCUGCAGCUCCUCCCGGUGGACCCGGUGGACCGGAGAGGCCAGCUUUCACGGGGUCUGCAUAAUAAUCAAUUGGGGCUCUCCUGAGAAAUGCACUCCAGUCCCAGCCCCAGCCCUGGGACCUUCUCUGGGUUUUGUUUUUUAUAAAGAUAUUUAAAUUUGGGAGUAAUUUUAUGUAAAUCUAAAUUACUCAUUUAAAAAAUUGCAUGGAUAAUUAGGAGUCCUUGUUUGUUCCUUACCCUUACUUCUAAUGCUAAUCUUUUUUUUUUCUUUUUUUGUGUUGAGACAGGGUCUCUCUAUGUAGUGAUAGCUAUCCUGAAACUGUGUACACCAUAGACUGGCCUAAACUCAGAGAUCCACCUGCCUCUGCCUGAAUUUCUGGGAUCAAGCAUGUGUUAAUGUAACCAUGGUACAUGUUACAACUAGAAAGUCUUACUCCAUCAGAUUUCAUACUAAUGUUCUGGAACCCAGAGUUCAAGAUACCGUAGUAUUACAUUUAGAGAAGGCUCACUGUUCGUGGGUUUUCAUCUGAUGAGAGCUGGUCUGGGGACCCGACAGAGAAACAGUGGGAUAUUUAAAUGCACUAAAUUAAGUCAUGGAACUGCCAAGCACUGUUGAGUUGGAAGUGACGGCUCUGGGAGAGUGGGUGGGCUGGCACAGGUGAGCUAAGUAGCCAGUUAUCCUGUAAGCCACAGAAAGUCUCCAUUUCCUUGAACCUGGCGUGAGGUGUGCCAUGUUGGACAUUCGCCAGAAAGGUUGCAGGGAACAAAGCUGUGGUGUCUACUGCAGCAGGUCCUCAGGGGCUUGAGCCAGGUAAGGAGUGGGAGGGUGCGCUGGGGUGGGGGGCAUAAAAGCUCAGUCCUUGGAAGGAUUAGUUCUAGAGAAUUCUACUAGAGAAUAACCAUUUGAACUUCAGGUGGUCAAUAGACUUGAAGGGUAAGGAAAUGGAGCAGCAGGGGUUUUUAAGGCAUAUUUAUCUGGGUAUCCUUUGCGGGCCUCAGAAUACAUUAUUUGGUAUCUUGCUGAGGCUUUUAAGUUGUACAAAUGAAUUUCCUUGUCACACUGAAGCUGCAGUUUCACAGCAGUUGUAAGGCCAGGUGUUUAAAAACAUUUUAUUAAAGACUUUCCAAACUUUCCCCUUUUAAAAGAAUGUUAACUUUUCAGUGGAGUCAGGAUCCCUCAUCUAUACACAUCCCUUCCUGCACCCUGAAGAGCUCAAACCACACGGUGGGAUUGCUAACAUUUAUCACAUAGCAAGUAAUGUUCUCUUUCUGGAAAACCUACUUUAAAUGGCUGAGUGAAAAGAGCCCAAGGAACCGAGGUUGCUCUUAAGUAUGAGGGGAAACUACCCGAUUCUAUCCUCCCUGGCAUUUGCUGGCACAGUGUCAGGCCACCAGACAGGUUACGUGGCUGGCAGACUGGAGGUAAUCUUAUGCUGGACUUGCUGGCCCAUACUGGGCAGUUUGCACAGAAACUAGCACUUUACCUUGGGAUAUUUCUCUGCUGAGUGCUUUCUUUCCAAAUAGCACUAUCUUAAGAAUGCAGCUUCUGGGUGAAGGACCAGAACAAACCUGGCUGGAGUAAAGACUGAGUUGUGAAAGGUCUUAGUUACCCUGCAAAGCUUAGCUUAUGAAAGCAGUCUAACCUGAUACCUGUGUUGUUAAUACUGAUGAUGACUUUGAACCAGGGAAUACUGUUUUUAGGGAUAUAAGAAACUAAACCAAGCUAAGCUGUCAUAAAACCAAAGUUUUGUGUUGUUGAAUUUAGAAAACAGGAAACGUGAAAGGGUGGGCUGGGCUAGAAUCUGAUGCAGUCAAAUAAAUCUAAUAAACACAGAGGGAAUUACUAAGCAACCACUUUUCAGCCUGCAAGAAUGGUAGUUUUACUGGGAUCGAACAUGCACUUCCGAUCUAUCUUCUGUAUAAUGCAAUUAUCAUACACCAGUUAAAACUCUGAGGUCAAUGCGGUGCACGCCUUUUAUCUCAGCACUCUGGAGGAUCUGAGCUCAAAGCCAGCCUCAUCUACAGAGCAAGUGCCAGGCCAGUGAGGCCUGCAGAGUGAGACCUUGUCUCAAAAAUAAAUACAAAUUUUAAAUAGUUGAAGUCUAAAUUAUUAGAGGCUAAAAUAAGAACCAGAGAGACGACCAUCCCCACCAAUCUUCUAGAACACACGCAGAAUGGAUGAUCCAGGCAGAUGUUCCUUUGGAUUAUCUUCUUAGAGUACAGAGCCCUGAGAAGAUGCUAGUUAGCACCCUACUGGUGAUUUGGUUUUCAUGCCUUGUUUGUUAGGAGACCCUACCUACUUUCAGUGACAUUUACAUUCUCAGUUGAUCUAAUUUCCCAAUUAUCAAAAUGACUCAUUCUAGUAUCAAGGUCAAGGAGGGAAAAGCAAUUCUCAGUGAUACUCAUGGUGCCUACUGUCAGACACAAUCCCUUUCUCAGAUCACUUCUGAACACCCAUGCAGUCAGCAUUUCUACACAUAUGAUGCAAAUCCUUUAAAAAGUAUUAACUUGUCUACAUAUGCUUGUGCCUGAGGUCAGGAUCACGUCAGAUCUAUUGAGAGCUGUAGUUACAGACAGCCAUUAGGUAUCUGAUAUAGAUGUUGGGACUCGAACUCAGGUCCUCUGCAUCCUGGGUGCUGGGAUUAAAGGUGUGUGCCACCACCGCAUGGCUUACGUUAUUUAUGACAGAUUUUCCCUUCCUAAAUUUGUCAGUUCAGUUAGCCUAUGUCAAGAACAAAGGGGGCCAUCACUGAAAGAUCUGACUUCAAGUACUGAGAAGUAAAAUCUCUGUGCAGCACAAGCAGGAUUUAAUAACAACUGUUUAUGUCAGGACCCUCACCACUGAGCGAGGCAGGGCUGUUCAACAUUUCCAGACCUGCCAAGGAUAAGAGUCCCUGUUCCAAACAAAAACAAAACCCUUAGGUUGAUUGGGUUUAUUCCCACAUGAAGUGCAGACUUGAAACAUCAUGCAGCAAAUUUUAAGCAACCUGAAUACAAAUUCCCAUACCUGUUUUAUUCCCUGUGGAACAUGUUCUAAUUUGACACUAGUCUAGCUACUUCUUUCUCUUUGGUGUAUACCUAUAAUCACAUCUACUGGGAUCCUUCCCGAUUCGCCACGAUGAACUAACUAUUCAAAUGUGCCAUCACUGCACUAUGUCACUAAGGACCACGGCUAGACAGACUCCUGGUAUAAUAUCUUCAGGCAGAAAACAGUCUAAGCAAAGACUACCACUAGUCCUGAACUAGACCAUGAGGCAAAGCAGCUUGGUCAGUUGGAAACUAUGUAAAAGUUUUCAGACCAAGGUAAAAAACACAAGUUCUAGAGAUAUAUAAUGCUCCGUGGACAGAGAAGUGGUACAAACAACACUGGCCAUAUUUUAAUUAAAAUAGAAUUUAUUAGCUUCUCUUUUAAUAUAAACAUGAGAAAGAAAAACCACAUUAGGCUGUAGCAUUCUUUUCAAAAUAAAACUGCAAUCAAUACUUGAAUCUCUAUGCUCUGAACUCCAUAAACAAUGUCUUUUGAGGUGGUAGAUUGUAAUAUUUCAUACAUCUUUCCUUAACAUUUCUGUCUGUCCUUUCCAAACGAAGAACCCGGCAGCACUGAGCGUGUGAAGCACAGCGACCACAAGAGGAAGUAUUCCAGCCCACAGAGGUCUUGCUCGCAGUUUACAGGAAAUGCAUCGUGGACCCAACGGAAGCAGUCAACAACUGAUUCCCUCUCUUCAUGGCUCCAAACAUAACAAGAUGCUAGUGAGCAGAGCUGGCAAGGACUACAAAUGGUGACUGUUACCCAGGUUGAGCAGACAAAUAGCCCACGUAUUUAAGCACUGCAUCUCUGCACUUGUGGACUCACGAAGAGUUCCCCGAGCAGGAGCACAUGGUCCCAGACUGUCCAUCGUAUUAGAGCACUGCCUGCUCAUCAAUGCUGUGCGCUGUGCUAUGAAAGCAAUGUGCGCACACGCUCCUUGUUACCUUCUCCACUGCCACCUACUGCUGAGCUCUCCAGCCUUUGAUGAGACAGGACAACUAUUGUCACUAAAUCCUGACCCUUCUUUUUCACGUGCAGUGUUUGUGAUUUACCUGUGAACUCAACCAGCUCCUUAUUACAGAAUAUCAUUUUUAUGAAUAACCACAAAUACUCUCAAAGAUGGAUACAGUGGGCCUGUCACUUUAAGGAACAUAUAAUUUGUCAUGAUAAAAUUUAAGCUGUCAAGCUUUUGGAAGACGAGAUUGGGAACUUGUGCGUUCUGAUAUAUGCCUGACAGCUUUUCAGUGCUCACAAAGGUGAAUCAUUACUUUCCCUAUGACAGGACAUAUCAUGGAACUAUGUACUAGUUAAAGAUUCACUUACUAUACAAGAUGUAGCUCAAUGAAUAUAAUGUAAAAGCUCACCGUGAAAUAUAAAGUAUUACCAUAGACAUUCCCAUGGAGCUUUAGUAUAGUACUACAAAGUAUCAGAAAAAUCUGAAAGCUUUAAAAAUAACUUCCUCUUAAAUAUAUGUGAAUAAGGACUGGCUUCUAGCUUCUUUAAAACAGAUGAAAGAGAAGAAAGAAACAUGAAAAUAUAUUUGUCUUUCUACUAAGUUAUACGUUAAAGAGAUUUAUAAAAAUGGAAAUGAUACAUCUUCUCUCAAUAUUUUGAUGUAGAAAAAGUUUUUUUAAAAAAAAUAUGUUAAGCUGGUUCUUUGGUGUGAUUUUUGAUUGUCACAAUGGGAGUGGACAAUUGUAACAUUGUUAAACAUCCUACAAUGCAUGCAGACACAACAAGAAAUUAGUUUAAAAAAAUUAGUAGGAUCAAGCUUGCAAAGUCCUGUGCUUGUCAUAAUGUAUGUUUUUAAUUUUAAUAUAUAUAAACCAGCAAGUAUCGAUAUAAGAAAACCAUACUUUUUAGAACCUUCAAUAAUUAGAGAGCUCUUAAGGGAUCUUAAGAACAAGAAACUUUAAUAAAAGAUUCAUUUCAAUAUUUAAUAAAAGCACUCUACAAAGUCUGAUAUCCACAUUACAUCUUAGUACUACACUUGGUAUUAUGUGAGGUAAGUAGGUAGAAUAGUAGGACAAGUUUCAAGAAGCUCACCUGUUCUUUAUGUGGUAAUAUAUUGCUAAGGUCACACUGUGGAAGGAAAAAAAAAUUAUUUGAAGCAAUUCAUUUUAUCAUUUUUAAGCAGGACUGACCUUCCCAGAAGCCCUGAAAUCUUUAUUACAAAAGUACCAUGAAGAACUUUUAUACAACUGGACAACAUGCUGUGAGAAGGCGUGUUUCUGUUGAUUAUGAUCGUGUGCAAAUGCUUGCACACCGCUCCUGUCAUCUGUCCUCCUACAGAAUCUGUGUCCCGUGCACGGUUUAGACAGUGGGGUUUCUGGUUAGACUCAGUUCAUUACCCAUGCAGUCACCACAGACGAUUAGCCCUACGGUGAGCGACCAAGAGAUCUGCAUAUAGGGCAAGAACAUUUAAAAUCACUUCUGUAGGAUUAUUAGUAGAAAACGUGGUCGAUGUGGCCGAGUGCCCGGCUGUCCUAAAAUGAGCAGUGCCAACAGUACAGCACAGCGGUAGUAAUGGCAGCUAUUUCUAACGUAGUUGAAGUGAAAUAUCAAUAGUAGACACACUUUAGACAUAUAUUACUCCUAAGCUUGCCACACAUGACGGAAACUAGGGAACAGAGUUUUUUUUUUUUUUUUUCAUCUGCCCUUACCAGCUAAAACAAAACUCAAAAUAUUUGAGGGAAGGCAAAUCUGAAUUUUAGAAGUAGUUAUAUAUAUUUUAAAUGUAAAAAUUUGGAUUUUGUAACAUCACUGACAUCGAAGAUGGAUACUUCUACAGUGCUUCCGUUUCCCCUCAGGCUGAUUGGUUCUGAGAAGGACCACUAAGAUUUUAUUUUAUUUUUUAUUUUUUAAAAUAUUUAUUUAGUAUACAAUAUUCUGUCUGUGUGUAUGCCUGCAGGCCAGAAGAGGGCACCAGAUCUCAUUACAGAUGGUUUUGAGCCACCAUGUGGUUGCCGGGAAUUGAACUCAGGACCUUUGGAAGAGCAGGCAAUGCUCUUAACCUCUGAGCCAUCUCUCCAGCCCCAGACCACUAAGAUUUUAGAUUUACAUGACAGUUCACACAACAACCACGUUUACAGAAAAGGGGGGGAACCGAUGUUUAGAACUGAUGCAGCUAAGGUCCCCCAAGUAGACAGCCACAGUUCUGUAUUCUCAUUAAGCAGUGGCUCCCAUGCUGCCUCACACUGCAGUCCGAGCAACUGGCACGGGUCAAGACUUGGGUAUCAAGAUUACUUCUCAAGUUCCCAGGGUGAUUGCCAAGGGGCCAUGGUUAAGGUCAAAGGACUUGCCUAGACACUUUUUGAUAAUGCAAUUAGUGCCUCACAUGCAUCUCCCUCCUUAAAGACGCCUGAAAGGGACUAGGAAUUGAGGGAAAGGCAAAGGCAAAACGAGAAAAAUGCAUGUGCUCACAGACAUGUAUUUUUCUUUCCUUAGAGACAAGGUCUCAUGUAGCCGAGGCUGGCCCUUAACUUGCUAUGUAGCUAAGGAUGAGCUGGAACUCCUGAAUCCUGCCACCUCAGCCUCCCAAUUGCUGGGAUUACAGAUGUGAGCUGCCAUGUUCACUUGCAGGCAUGUAUACUGGAAAAAGUUG